CUACGGGGGGCUGCAGUGGGGAAUAUUGCACAAUGGGCGCAAGCCUGAUGCAGCCAUGCCGCGUGUGUGAAGAAGGCCUUCGGGUUGUAAAGCACUUUCAGCGGGGAGGAAGGCGGUGAGGUUAAUAACCUCAUCGAUUGACGUUACCCGCAGAAGAAGCACCGGCUAACUCCGUGCCAGCAGCCGCGGUAAUACGGAGGGUGCAAGCGUUAAUCGGAAUUACUGGGCGUAAAGCGCACGCAGGCGGUCUGUCAAGUCGGAUGUGAAAUCCCCGGGCUCAACCUGGGAACUGCAUUCGAAACUGGCAGGCUAGAGUCUUGUAGAGGGGGGUAGAAUUCCAGGAGUAGCGGUGAAAUGCGUAGAGAUCUGGAGGAAUACCGGUGGCGAAGGCGGCCCCCUGGACAAAGACUGACGCUCAGGUGCGAAAGCGUGGGGAGCAAACAGGAUUAGAUACCCGAGUAGUC
rnacentral:rRNA from 1 species